GGUUAAGUGACUAAGCGUACAUGGUGGAUGCCUUGGCAGUCAGAGGCGAUGAAGGACGUACUAACCUGCGAUAAGCCGUGAGCAGUCGGUAAGAGACAUUACGACUCACGGAUUUCCGAAUGGGGAAACCCACCUAGCAUAAGCUGGGUAUCGCUGCGUGAAUACAUAGCGUAGCGAGGCGAACCGGGAGAACUGAAACAUCUAAGUACCCCGAGGAAAAGAAAUCAACCGAGAUUCCCUCAGUAGCGGCGAGCGAACGGGGAUUAGCCCUUAAGCAUCUUGGAAGUUAGUGGAACGGUCCUGGAAAGGCCG
rnacentral:rRNA from 1 species